rnacentral:lncRNA from 1 species
AAUUUCCUCGUCUUUUUCUUUUCCAAAUAGAAGAACAGUGAAGAAAAAGGGGGUCUUGCAUUUAACACAAAAAAGUUUCUGUUGAUCUUAUGCUCUUAUAGGGACUUUACUCAUCUGGGUUUUUGGAUUUUAGUCAAAAAGUUGAAAAUUUUUCUAUUGGGUUUUGGUUGGCGGAGAAGGGUAGUGCGGACAAGCUGUGUUAAGUUCUGGUUUGGUUUGGUUGUGAGAGGAGAAAGCUAAGAAUUUGAUUAACUGGGCCCCCUCCUUGGAUGCAAAAUUUUGUUUUCCAAUUAUGGGGAUUUUGUGUAGAUGGCUUUAAGGGUUGGAUGUGAUGGAUGUUGAUUAGCAUUCGAAUGGGAUUUGGGGGAAAGUGUGAGAACUACUAGUGUUGUGGAUUUUAAGAGUGUGGUAAUUGUGCGUUUAUGUGAAUUAUGAUCAAGCAAAUACUAAAGAAGCUUCCUCGAAAGUCAUCUAAGACGGGUGAUAAUCGUGAACAUGGCAGAAAUUC